rnacentral:rRNA from 1 species
CCUACGGGUGGGCAGCAGUGAGGAAUAUUGGUCAAUGGCCGAGAGGCUGAACCAGCCAAGUCGCGUGAGGGAAGAAUGUCCUAUGGAUUGUAAACCUCUUUUGUCAGGGAGCAAAGUCACCCACGUGUGGGUGUUGGAGAGUACCUGAAGAAAAAGCAUCGGCUAACUCCGUGCCAGCAGCCGCGGUAAUACGGAGGAUGCGAGCGUUAUCCGGAUUUAUUGGGUUUAAAGGGUGCGUAGGCGGGUUAUCAAGUCAGCUGUAAAAUCGCGCGGCUCAACCGCGCCCCGCAGUUGAAACUGGACGCCUUGAGUUCACAACAGGCAGGCGGAAUUCGUGGUGUAGCGGUGAAAUGCAUAGAUAUCACGAGGAACCCCGAUUGCGAAGGCAGCCUGCCGGGGUGCGACUGACGCUGAGGCUCGAAGGUGCGGGUAUCAAACAGGAUUAGAUACCCGUGUAGUC